GCACAAGCAGCGGAGCGUGUGGUUUAAUCGUUGCUACACGAAGAACCUUACCUGGGUUUGACAUAUAAGUUGUAGGGAACUGAAAAGGGACCGACCCCUUUCGGGGAGCUUGCACAGGUGCUGCAUGGCUGUCGUCAGCUCGUGUCGUGAGAUGUUCGGUUAAGUCCGCUAACGAGCGCAACCCUCGCUGUGUGUUAUAUGUGUCACACGGGACUGCCGGUCUUAAGCCGGAGGAAGGUGGGGAUGAUGUCAAGUCAGCAUGGCCUUUAUAUCCUGGGCUACACACACGCUACAAUGGCCAGCACAGUAGGUUGCUAAGCCGCGAGGUGGAGCCAAUCCAUAAAGCUGGUCUCAGUUCAGAUUGCAGGCUGCAACCCGCCUGCAUGAAGAUGGAGUUGCUAGUAACCGCAGGUCAGCUAUACUGCGGUGAAUACGUUCCCGGGCUU
rnacentral:rRNA from 1 species